GUCACUUUGUCAGCUCACAUACUAAAACUGAAAUGCUAUAGAAAAUGUUAGCAUGCCCAUUGCACAAGGAUGACAGACACAUUUGUAAAGUUGAUAUAUAGUUUU